CUAGAGUAAAGAGAAAAGAAAAGAAUGAUUAGAAAAAGGGCUUAAAAGAUUUAUGAAUGCAAAGGGUAGAGUUAGGUUUUUAUAUUGGGAUUGGAGAUGAGAUUACCAUUAGAACUUCAUUUGAUAUACUCUGGGUAGAUGGGAUCUUAUCUAUGUAUGCAUAGCUUGAGACUUACCUUUAGCAUUCUACUAAAGCUUAAUCAUUUUUUGAGAGAUCCCUUGUUACUGAAGCCUAUUCUGUAAGGGACCAUCUUUGUCUCUUGACCUUUUACCUUAGCCAAAUGAGUUCAUUGAUGAUGCAUUGCUUGAUUCACGUUCCAAAACUAAUGAAUGUUAAAGGGAUUGGUAGAUUUGAAAACAUGUGUAGGUCGAGCAUAUGAGUCGGAUUGAUUGUUAACAAGGCAUGGCUAACGUUUUUGAGUAGAAUUCGAUCAUAUCGCAGCUUAAAACUAUCAACUUAGACAUUGAUUUCAUCUGGUUUAUCUGGUGUUUUGGCUCUGAGUCUCCUCUUUCAAACCUCACCUCUAGCUUGUUCUUAAUUGUUUGGUUGAGGGCAAGUAAAUACUAAGUUUCAAGGAGUUGAUAAGUGUGCAUUUUACAUGUUUUGAGCAUCCAUUUGUUAUCAUUAUUGCAUCAUAUCACCACUGUUUUAUACCAUUUGUCAUCACUCUACAUUUUUAGGAUAGUUUUGCAUGCAUGUUGCAUAUUUGUGUUGAUUUGAGGUGAUUUGGAGCUGUUGACGAGCUAAUUGGGAGAAGCGGACCUGAUCAUGUCAAACCACUUGACCCCCAGGUCGAGCAGAUGCUCCACGACAUCAAAGGGCCACUUGACCCCCUGGUCGAGUAGAAGACUUCACCACUCGACUACCUGGCCGAGUACCACCAUGAGAGUCACUCGAUCACUUCACUCGACCACCAGGUCGAGUAUCAUCACCUCCACAACCUGACCAUCACUCGAUCACACCACUCUACCACGAAGUCGAGUAUCACCAUCACCAUCACUCGACAACAUACUCGAUUGCCAGCUUCAGAGUCUUCUCCAUUUCGCACUCAACCAGACACUCGAGCACAAGGAAGAAAAGAAGACUCCAACUAAUCACUCGACCUCUCACUCGACCACCUGGGUCGAGUACUGUUCUUAAUCCGUCCCAAUACUGCGUCGUUUUGAGUAUUACGGUUUCAGAAAUAUUUCGCUAUAAGUAGCAUAUACUUUACAUUUUCGUAGGGCUAAGUUUUAUUUUCCGCAUACAUUGUGCUCUUGACAUUUUGUAAUCCGGAUUUCUCUUAAUCUAUUCAGUAUUCAGCAUUUUGUUCUUGAUUUUGUUUACUGUUGUUCAUCUUGUUAUCACCUUGCUAUUACUCUGUUGUUAUCAUGUUUUCAUUCUAUUCAACGUUUAUGUUCUCUACAAUGAUGUCUGAGUAGUGAAUAGGUUUCUGAGGAUGGGUUAGAGUAGUUUAGAAUUCUCAGUAUGCUAGGUGGUUGAGUUUGAUUGAUAGAUCCCUUCUGGAUUAGUUGUUCUUAAUGCCUAUUGCUUUCUGAUCAACUGGAAUUUGAGCCCAGACAUUUCCGCGUUCAAAAGGUGUUCGAUGAAAUGUCUGAACCACUAAUUCUAGAGAUUCGUGGCUCUGUACCAAGGUAUUGGUUGCAGUGAGCGUUUUGGCUUUAACUUGUUGAUUCGUAAUGUCUGUUAGGUUAGCUCUCGUCAAUGGUGAUUGAGUCUGGGACUAGGUUAACUUGAGGGUCUCUGUUGCGGUGGCACUUAGAUUUGGUUAAUGAACUUGUUGUCUAGGGAUAAUUUAUUGAGCAUGUCAAUCACCUGUAAACUGAGGAAACGAAACUACUCAAUCACCCCAUCCUCGGGAAUUCUUUAUGUGAUUGAUUUCUUUGUUUACUCUACUGUUGUUUACUGCAUCUUGUCAUCUGUUGAUUAGUUUCUAUAAUUCUUUCCUGUUACUCGACCUAAUACUCGACCACCCAGUUGACUGGCAACAGACUGUGCAAUCGAGUAUCUUUGUUUCGUUUACUGCAUGUUACUCGACCAGUCACUCGACCACACCCAGUGCUCUGCAACGAGUUGUGUUGGUCGAGUGUUUUACUGUAUCUGCCUGAUUUUCUGUUUUCUGCAUGUGCACUUAGGACUGCUAGAACACCAAAACCUGUUAUUGCUUGGCUUGACUUAGUGACUUAUGAUCACAUCUUGAUUGUUAGCAUCACACCCAUUUGGAUUGACAACCUAAAAUACUACAACGACAUGAUUGAUGUUUUAGGAUAAUUGACUACAAACCUAUUAUCAUCUACCGUCCAGAUGUCCUCAAAGAUGCCAAUAUUCUCACCUUGUGUAGCUCACCCAAUGACUUCCAAGCUAGAGGUGGCCACAAUCCUUCCGGAAGCGCUGAUGAAGGCCGCUAUCGACCAUUUUUCUUAAGGUGUUUUGCAGCUAACAAUCCCACGGCCGUGUAUUACGAAGGUAUUCGUGUUCUAACGCAU
rnacentral:sRNA from 1 species